rnacentral:rRNA from 1 species
UACAGAGGGGGCGAGCGUUGUUCGGAAUUACUGGGCGUAAAGGGCGCGUAGGCGGCCUUCUAAGUCGAACGUGAAAUCCCCGGGCUCAACCCGGGAACUGCGUCCGAUACUGGGAGGCUUGAAUCCGGGAGAGGGAUGUGGAAUUCCAGGUGUAGCGGUGAAAUGCGUAGAUAUCAAGUGGAACGCCAGUGGCGAAGGCGAGUCUCUGGACAUUUCCUGACGCUGAGGCACGAAAGCCAGGGGAGCAAACGGG